UCCGUAGGUGAACCUGCGGAAGGAUCAUUAAUGAAUUUAGAUUGAACCAUAGGCGAAAGCCAGUGGUUCUUCUUUCAUAUCCAUAACACCUGUGUACUGUUGGAUGCUUGCAUCCACUUUUAAACUAAACAUUAUUGUAACAAAUGUAGUCUUAUUAUAACAUAAUAAAACUUUCAACAACGGAUCUCUUGGCUCUCGCAUCGAUGAAGAACGCAGCGAAAUGCGAUAAGUAAUGUGAAUUGCAGAAUUCAGUGAAUCAUCGAAUCUUUGAACGCACCUUGCGCUCCUUGGUAUUCCGAGGAGCAUGCCUGUUUGAGUGUCAUGAAACCCUCAAACCCAAGUUUUGGAUUUCGAUCCAUGCUUGAGUUUGGAUUUGGAUGUUUGCCGGUGAUGAACCGACUCAUCUUAAAAGUAUUAGCUUGGAUCUGUCUAUAUGACUGGUUUGACUUGGCAUAAUAAGUAUUUUGCUGAGGACAUCUUCGGAUGGCCAGGACCUAGACUACUGUCUGCUAACUAAACCAUCACUUUAAGUGCAUCUUUGGAUGUUACUCAUUGUGUAACUUUGACAUCUGGCCUCAAAUCAAGUAGGACUACCCGCUGAACUUAAGCAUAUCAAUAAGCGGAGGA
rnacentral:rRNA from 1 species